ACGUUCUUUCUUCUCAAACGUUGGGUAGUGACUCGGCUCAGACCUGCGCCAACAGACGUCUGCGUUCGUCCAAACGGGCGCCCCAGUCAAGUUUUUUAACUGUAGUUAGUCAGUUCGGCCAGACGCUCUUUCUCAGUACUUUAUUUAGCAGCCGCUGAAAUCUUCCGCACCGGUCAAUAGAGAAAACGUUGGAACCUGUGACAACUUUCAAUCUUCUACAUCAAGUUGCCAGUUUUUGGUGUCACACAAACGGGACAAACAAAUCGCUCAGGUGCUGAUUAAAAAGUUGACUUGUCAUUUGCAUCGCCAACUUUGCGGAACAUGGGAGACGAAGGGAUGCUCAAGAAAUCGGAGUCUGCGUGAAAUCGGUCGGGACACAACUGAAAUGAGUGCGCCUUUCUUUCUUUCUUUGUGAUUUGAUGCUAUCUUUAGUCGGCAAAGUGGUGACCGAGGAACGCCGCAAUGGACCAUCUGAACGAAAAAAGAAAAGAAAAAAGACGUUCUACGCUGUUCUUAUAGACCUCUUCGCUCUCUGUAGUUUAGAUUUGCCAUUUGCUUUACGAGUCUCUAUCGUCCUAUUUUUUUGUCCACGGUAUAAUAUCCUAUACCUCUCGCAGUCUCGCUCUAUAUCUUAUUGGCCAUGCGCUCUGUGUUUUCUUUUCAGUUUUCCGCCGAGUCGAGAUUUUUGCACGAACGCAAAUUUGUCACAAUUCGCCAUCAUUUUUUUUUCCCUAUCGGCUUGAUGAUCGGAUGGUUCGAAAUUUGUGCUUUUGUCAAUUUCUUUUGCGCCUUUACUUGAUGAUAUGCAUAAUGACGAAAUUUGCAUGAAAAAUUGAAAUCAUUUGUUUUUCUUUUCUUUUUUCAUUGCUCGCGUUCUAUAACGAAUUGCUUCGUGAUCGUUCUGAAUGAUCUACUUAUCUUUUUUCCUUUCUGAUUGAUUGCCGGAACGAAAAUCAAGCGUUUGACAUGGAUUUAUACGUUUUUGAAUCUCUAUAAACUCUCCACAUCAUGUGUAUAUUUCAUUCUCUGCAUUACACACGCCGAAAAAGGAGAAACGAAAUGUUUGGCUAUUGGAUGCGUUUGUCAUGGUUGUUUGUCCCAUCC